AACGAACGUUAGCGGCGCGCCUAACACAUGCAAGUCGAACGCGACAGGGGCAACUCUGUUGAGUGGCGCACGGGUGAGUAACACGUAGGUAAUCUUCCCUCGAGUGGUGGAUAACCCUCCGAAAGGAGAGCUAAUACAGCAUGAGACCACGGCUUCGAAAGGAGCUGAGGUCAAAGCGGAGGAUCGCAAGACUUCGCGCUUGAGGAUGAGCCUGCGGCCCANCAGGUAGUUGGCGGGGUAAUGGCCCACCAAGCCUAAGACGGGUAGCUGGUCUGAGAGGAUGAUCAGCCACACUGGAACUGAGACACGGUCCAGACUCCUACGGGAGGCAGCAGUGGGGAAUCUUGCGCAAUGGACGAAAGUCUGACGCAGCGACGCCGCGUGGGUGAUGAAGGCCUU
rnacentral:rRNA from 1 species